rnacentral:rRNA from 1 species
UACGAAGGGUGCAAGCGUUAAUCGGAAUUACUGGGCGUAAAGGGUGCGUAGGCGGUUCGUUAAGUCUGUUGUGAAAUCCCCGGGCUCAACCUGGGAAUGGCGAUGGAUACUGGCGAGCUAGAGUGUGUCAGAGGAUGGUGGAAUUCCCGGUGUAGCGGUGAAAUGCGUAGAGAUCGGGAGGAACACCAGUGGCGAAGGCGGCCUUCUGGACCAGCACUGACACUCAAGCACGAAAGCGUGGGGAGCAAACAGG